CUCCGGCCGCCAUGGCGGCCGCGGGAAUUCGAUUGGAAACAGGUGCUAAUACCGUAUAACAAUGACAACCGCAUGGUUGUUAUUUAAAAGAUGGUUCUGCUAUCGCUAAGAGAUGGUCCCGCGGUGCAUUAGCUAGUUGGUAAGGUAAUGGCUUACCAAGGCGAUGAUGCAUAGCCGAGUUGAGAGACUGAUCGGCCACAAUGGGACUGAGACACGGCCCAUACUCCCACGGGAGGCAGCAGUAGGGAAUCUUCCACAAUGGGCGAAAGCCUGAUGGAGCAACGCCGCGUGUGUGAUGAAGGGUUUCGGCUCGUAAAACACUGUUGUAAGAGAAGAAUGACAUUGAGAGUAACUGUUCAAUGUGUGACGGUAUCUUACCAGAAAGGAACGGCUAAAUACGUGCCAGCAGCCGCGGUAAUACGAUAAUCACUAGUGAAUUCGCGGCCGCCUGCAGGUCGACCAUAUGGGAGAGCUCCCAACGCGUUGGAUG
rnacentral:rRNA from 1 species